GAAAGCUAUUAAGGGCUAAUGGUGGAUGCCUAGACUGUAAGAGGCGAUGAAGGACGUACUAGACUGCGAUAAGCUUCGGGGAGCCGUCAAGAGGCAUUGAUCCGAAGAUUUCCGAAUGGGACAACCCAGCAUAAUGAAGAUUAUGUUACCCUACGGGGGGCUAACCUGGUGAAGUGAAACAUCUCAGUAGCCAGAGGAAGAGAAAUCAAACGAGAUUCCGUAAGUAGCGGCGAGCGAACGCGGAAGAGGGCAAACCCUAUGCUUGCAUAGGGGGUUGAAGGACCAUAAUAAGAGACUAAAGAUGAUAGUAGAAAUAGUUGGAAAGCUAUAGCAUAGAAGGUGAUACUCCUGUAUACGAAAUUAUCAAUAGCUCAAAUGGUAUCCUGAGUAGGUCGGAACACGUGGUAUUUUGACUGAAGCCGGGGGGACCACCCUCCAACCCUAAAUACUACUUACAGAUCGAUAGUGAACAAGUACCGUGAGGGAAAGGUGAAAAGUACUCCAGCGAGGAGAGUGAAAUAGAACCUGAAACCAUUAGCUUACAAUCAUUCGGAGCCCUAUGUUUUAACAGGGUGACGGACUGCCUUUUGCAUAAUGAGCCUGCGAGUUGUGGUAUCUGGCAAGGUUAAGUCAAGUACGAAGCCGUAGCGAAAGCGAGUCUUAAUAGGGCGACUAAGUCAGAUGCUGCAGACCCGAAACGAAGUGAUCUAUCCAUGGGCAGGUUGAAGCUGGUGUAAGAGCCAGUGGAGGACCGAACCGAUAGGCGUUGAAAAGCCUCCGGAUGACCUGUGGAUAGGGGUGAAAGGCCAAUCAAACUUCGUGAUAGCUGGUUCUCUCCGAAAUAUAUUUAGGUAUAGCCUCUAGAAGUAGCAUGUAGGGGUAGAGCACUGAAUGGGCUAGGGCUGCUCACCGCGGUACCAAACCCUAUCAAACUUCGAAUACUACAUGUGGAAUCUAGGGAGUCAGGCGUAGGGUGAUAAAAUCAUAUGUCGAGAGGGGAACAACCCAGACUAACAGCUAAGGUCCCAAAGUUACAUCUAAGUGGAAAACGAUGUGGAGUUACUGUGACAACCAGGAGGUUGGCUUAGAAGCAGCCAUCCUUUAAAGAAAGCGUAACAGCUCACUGGUCUAGUGAUUCUGCGCGGAAAAUAUAACGGGGCUAAGAUGUACACCGAAGCUUUAGAUUCAUAUUAUAUAUGAGUGGUAGGAGAGCGUUCUAUUCAGCGUAGAAGAUGUACCGGUAAGGAGCGUUGGAGCGGAUAGAAGUGAGCAUGCAGGCAUGAGUAGCGAUAAUUGAGGUGAGAAUCCUCAACGCCGAAAACCCAAGGUUUCCUACGCGAUGCUCGUCAUCGUAGGGUUAGUCGGGACCUAAGUCGAGUCCGAAAGGGGUAGACGAUGGUAAAUUGGUUAAUAUUCCAAUACCAGCAUAUAAGCGCGAUGUGGGGACGCAUAGAGUUAAUCGAGGUCACUGAUGGAAGUGUGGCUCGAAGGAAGUAGGUUGAUACUUAGGCAAAUCCGGGUAUCACGAGACCGAGAUCUUACAGGCCGAACAAUCUUUUAGGAGAGCGUUUGGAAUCGAUGAUACUGUCGUGCCAAGAAAAGCCACUAAGUAUAUUAUAUGUUGCCCGUACCGUAAACCGACACAGGUGGGUGGGAUGAGUAUUCUAAGGCGCGUGGAAGAACCCUGGUUAAGGAACUCUGCAAACUAGCACCGUAUCUUCGGUAUAAGGUGUGCCUCCUCUGGUAUAUGAACUUGCUUCAAAAAGCUAGAAAGGUUGCAACAAAGAGUCCCUCCCGACUGUUUACCAAAAACACAGCACUUUGCUAACACGUAAGUGGAUGUAUAAGGUGUGACGCCUGCCCGGUGCUCGAAGGUUAACUGAUGAUGUUAGAGCAAUCGAAGCAUUUGAUUGAAGCCCGAGUAAACGGCGGCCGUAACUAUAACGGUCCUAAGGUAGCGAAAUUCCUUGUCGGUUAAAUACCGACCUGCAUGAAUGGCGUAACGAGAUGGGAGCUGUCUCAACCAGGGAUCCAGUGAAAUUGUAGUGGAGGUGAAAAUUCCUCCUACCCGCGGAAAGACGGAAAGACCCCGUGCACCUUUACUACAGCUUGACACUGUAGCUUGGAUAUUCAUGUGCAGGAUAGGUGGGAGGCUAAGAUGACUAGACGCCAGUAGAGUCGGAGCCACCCUUGAGAUACCACCCUUGAAUAUUUGAGUUACUAACUAGGUAGAGUAAACCUCUACUAGGACAAUGUCUGGUGGGUAGUUUGACUGGGGCGGUCGCCUCCUAAAAAGUAACGGAGGCUUACAAAGGUUAGUUCAUGGCGGAUGGAAAUCGCCAGCUGAGUAUAAUGGCAUAAACUAGCCUGACUGUGAGACGUACAUGUCGAGCAGAGACGAAAGUCGGUCAUAGUGAUCCGGUGGUUCUGAGUGGAAGGGCCAUCGCUCAAAGGAUAAAAGGUACGCCGGGGAUAACAGGCUGAUCUCCCCCAAGAGCUCACAUCGACGGGGAGGUUUGGCACCUCGAUGUCGGCUCAUCGCAUCCUGGGGCUGGAGCAGGUCCCAAGGGUAUGGCUGUUCGCCAUUUAAAGCGGUACGCGAGCUGGGUUCAGAACGUCGUGAGACAGUUCGGUCCCUAUCUUCCGUGGGCGUAGGAAAGUUGAGGAGAUUUGUCCCUAGUACGAGAGGACCGGGAUGAACGUACCACUGGUGUACCAAUUGUUCUGCCAAGAGCAUCGUUGGGUAGCUACGUACGGAUGAGAUAAGAGCUGAAAGCAUCUAAGCUCGAAGCCAACUCCAAGAUGAACUUUCCCUGAAGAUCCCUCUAAGACUAAGAGGUUGAUAGGCUAGAUGUGUAAUCAAUGAAAGUUGUUUAGCUGACUAGUACUAAUAGAUCGUUUGGCUUUUUUUU
rnacentral:rRNA from 2 species